rnacentral:lncRNA from 1 species
AAGAAACACUGGAAGAAGUAAGUUAUUAAAUUAGUAAUUCAAUUCCUGUGAGCAACAGAAAGUAAAGAGGUCCUGCCUCUGUUGGUGGGGAAGGCCCGCAGAACUAGUGGAAGGAGAAGCUGAUGGGUGAAGUAGCAAAUCAGACUUCCUAUGUGAAUUUGAAAAACUACAGUUGGAAAUAAAAGCUAGGGCCAUAUGCUGAGCUGUGAAAAUUUAGGGGAAAAAAAAGGAACAUGGUUUAGUACACUUGAGAAACUAGAGAAAAGUUACAGAGGCACAGAGAGAAACUUGAACAGGCAAGAGAAGCAUUUCCCUGGAGCUUUGCUGCUGCUGCUGCAAUACCAUUAGCAUUGGAGCCUGUCCCAGCACCUGCAGGAAGAAGAAAUCCACAGAAAAUGGAUUCAGCAAGCACCAAGUACCUUCACUGACAUACACCACUCUCCAGAAGUUCACCUCUUCUGUGGAGAGAUUCUUAUCCCAUUUUUGGGACAAUAUUUAGGGGUCAACCAAACUCCAGACAGCCUCCACCUGCCAGAAAGGACACAGUGGAAGUAGCUUUGGUGAUGCAAAUCACGUUAUUGCAGCAAUGAACAGAAGCCACAGCCUUAUCUUUCCUCAUCUCAGAUUUUGUUUGCAAGAUAAUACUGUUUUCUGUCUUGUAGACCAUUGGAGUAGUUGACACACUGUAUCAGUGUCACCAUAUUCAACUGUAGAGAAAAGCUGUGAUGUGCGGAAAAAAAAAAUAAUAAAAAAAAAAAGCCAUGAAAAGCCCUCA